CAGACAAGCUGAGCAACAGUGAACAGAUUUGCAUUCAAUGCUCCUCCCUCUUGAGCUGCAAGGACAGAGGAUAAGACAGGAGCUUAGACAGGCCAGUGCCAGCUGGGCAGCCACAGGGCAGAGCUCCUGGAAGCCUCCCUCGCCAUGGACUGGGCUCCCUUCUACCUCCUGCCCUUGGUUUUCUCCACAGGUCUCUGUGCUGAUCCUGUGCUGACCCAGCCCCCGUCUGCUUCUGCCUCCCCGGGAGCCUCGGCCAAGCUCACCUGCACCCUCAGCAGUGAGCACAGCAGCUACAUCAUUGAAUGGUAUCAGCAGCAGCAGCCAGGGAAGGCCCCUCGGUAUUUGAUGUAUGUUAAGAGUGAUGGAAGCCACAGCAAGGGGGUCGGGAUCCCCGACCGGUUCUCAGGCUCCAGCUCUGGGGCCGACCGCUACUUGACCAUCUCCAACCUCCAGUCUGAGGACGAGGCUGACUAUUACUGUGGUGUAGGCUAUAGUAUUGAUGGCCAAUACGGUUAA